rnacentral:rRNA from 1 species
CAAAGCCUUUGUUUCUUGCUUGGUCGCGGCAGCAGCACUGAAUAAGGCCCAGGCCCGUAGCACGGUACGACACCACCGAGAGACACGUGCGCGGCGGCCGGGCCGGCCGCUAUAUAUUCGCUCGAGCCCCUCGCUAGGGUUUCCCUCACCCUCCCUCGCAGUCCAAACCCAAUCAGAAAUCUCAAGCUUAGCACAGAAGCAAAACAAUGGCGGAGCAGACCUUCAUCAUGAUCAAGCCCGACGGCGUCCAGAGGGGCCUCAUCGGCGAGGUCAUCAGCCGCUUCGAGAAGAAGGGCUUCUACCUCAAAGGUUUGAAGCUCCAGAACGUGGAGAAGUCGUUCGCCGAGCAGCACUACGCCGAUCUGUCCUCCAAGCCCUUCUUCGCUGGGCUCGUGGAGUACAUCGUCUCCGGCCCGGUCGUCGCUAUGGUCUGGGAGGGCAAGAGCGUCGUCUCCACUGGACGCAAGAUCAUUGGCGCCACCAACCCCCUGGCCUCUGAGCCCGGCACCAUCCGUGGUGACUUCGCCGUCGACAUCGGCAGGAACGUCAUCCAUGGAAGCGACUCAGUUGAGAGUGCCAGGAAGGAGAUCGCCCUGUGGUUCCCUGAGGGCAUUGCCGAGUGGAGGAGCAGCCAGCACAACUGGAUCUACGAGGCCUAAGAUGUGUCAUGAGUGGUUGAGUGCAGCAUUGGCAUUGUAGAUGUUAAAGGCAAUAUGUAAAGACAUGACUCUGGGGAACUCCCUGAAGCGUGGCAAUGGAUGGCAGCGACGGUAAUAAAUGGAAGCGAGACGGUGAUGCAGAGCAUCCUACGGCCAUCCCCAUGGACCUAUCCUCGUCUCCUACGACACCAUAUGGACCAAUGACUAGAGCUCGAGCAAGGGCUAUUGAAACUAAGGUGAACUCCCUCCUCUCCAAACUUACACAUUCUUCAUGUGAGACAUGACUACUACCUCAAGCGGAGACCCUAUGUGUGCUCAGGUACUUAGAGGAUAGCCACGGAACAACUACAUCUAAUGAACAAGAUGGCGAGCACACCAAGUACAAGGUCUAAGAGAAAGAGCUGUCAGGAAACUACAGCCUCCGGACGACUGGACCAUGCUGGACGUCCGACGCCUGGAACACCAGCCAACGAAAGGACCCAGCCAACUAGUGCUACAACGCCCGGACGACCGACACGGUCCGGACGUCCGACACCUCCCAGCGCCCGGACAAUCGAGCCCCAUCCGGUGCCACCAUCACAGUACGAAAAUAACGGAAAUUUGAGCCCUUUCGGACGUCCGACGCCCUCCGGACAUCCGACGACACCUGACAAGAGCAGAAUCACUGAACAUCCGGGGCCCUCCGGGCGUCCGACGCCUGUCUGCGCACAGUGACUAGGACCGAAGCCCAUGUACCCCUUCGCCCCCUUAGACUAUAUACUCUGAUGAGGACAUGACUACCUUGAAUAGGACCAAAAAUAUUGC